UGAGGUGAAAGAUGGAAUGUUCCAUUCAACGAGGCGACAGCCGAGUUGAAUGGAACAUUCCAUCUUUCACCGAGUGAAAAUAUUCUUACCAUUGCACGAAGAAACAUUCAUUAUUUGUUUUAUAUAAUACCAAAAGUCCAGAACAGACUAAUAGAUUCGUAUGAGAAGCAUUUUGAGGGAUGCGAUUUAUCGAAAACACAAAGAGUGCAAUUGUACUAUACGUUUUAUUCCAUUGCACUCGCGGAGAGUGCAAUGGAACGUGUUCCAUUGCACUCUUGGGAAAUGGAAUUUUCUA